GGGAUGUGCCUUUAGUCAAGUGGUUAAGUCCACUUGACUCCGCCUUCUCCACCGGAGUUCGACUCCACUAAGUCGCGUUACCCCGCGUAAUAGGGAUUGGCUAUGAAUCGGGCCUUGUCGAUCCAAAGAUGUCAAAAAAAAAAAAGUAUUAACAUAUUUGGUUCUUUACACCAAAAAAAAAACAUACUCUUUGGUUGACUCACACAAAAUAACCAGGGAUAAAUAAUAAAAUUGAUGUAUUUGGUAUAUUUAUGAAGUUAUGGGCCUUAUUUAGAAUCACACGCUGAAUUCUGAAACCUUAUAAAUAGAAAACACAUAUAAUAAAUUUUCUUUU
rnacentral:lncRNA from 1 species